GCCAGGUUGGUGUAGUGGUUUGAAUGUUGGACUAGGAUUUUAGAGAACAGGAUUUGAAUCCUUACUUGGCC